GCUCAUUCUCGUAAAGUCGCAACUCGUGACUUUUCUAGCGCCUUCUUAUCCCUUCGCUUUCUCUCGAUCCAUCAUACGUGGGACCCGCUGUUAUUAUUGAUUUCCAAAUUCCUCCGUUCUCUUUUCCUUCUGGAACCCGCGAUUGCUCUUUCAUUCUCUCCCUCCUCCCUCCUCAACCCCAUCCCCUUAUUAUUUACUCCCGCCGCAGAAACUUCUAGAAGCAACAGAAAAACCUACCACCUCCCUUCUUCCCUCUCUUGCCGCAACCGGUGCUUCUGCUUUAGGUCGUUUCUGGUUCAACUGCUUGCGACUGCGUUUCUUGUUGGAUGACGAGUUUCCACUUUCGAGAGCCUUAAUUCAUCCAUCUCUGUCAAGUUGGAGGAUAGUUAUGAAGGAACGAGAACAUUGAGCUUCAGAUCUGGAAGUGGAGCUCAUGGCGCCAUUGCCGGUGGAGCAGACCGGUGAAUCCGCACCGACUGACUCGCAGAGAUCUAUCCCGACGCCGUUUCUGACGAAAACCUACCAACUUGUAGACGACCCCUCUGUGGAUGACCUGAUUUCCUGGAACGAAGAUGGAACGAGUUUCAUAGUUUGGCGACCCGCUGAGUUCGCCCGGGAUUUGCUUCCAAAAUAUUUCAAACACAAUAACUUUUCCAGUUUCGUCCGUCAACUGAAUACCUAUGGAUUUCGGAAGGUUGUCCCCGAUCGUUGGGAAUUCGUUAAUGAUUGUUUCCGACGAGGCGAGAGAAGCCUACUUCGGGACAUUCAACGGCGGAAAAUAUCGACGCCCACGGCUGCCGUAGCAACGGCCAAUACAGUGACGGUGGCUGCAGUACCUGCCGCCGCCCUAGGGGUGUCUCCGACCAACUCCGGUGAGGAACAGGUAAUCUCUUCGAACACAUCUCCGGUUGCCGCACCUAACACAGUGCAGCGCACCACAAGUUGCACCACUGCACCCGAGCUCUUAGAAGAGAAUGAACAGCUUCGGAAAGAGAACAUGCAAUUGAGUAACGAAUUGAGUCAAUUGAAGGGGUUGUGUAAUAAUAUACUGUCAUUGAUGACGAAUUAUGCUUCAAGCCAAUUAGAGUCCGGUAGUGCCGCCGAAGCAAAACCGUUGGAGCUUUUACGUGCGACGCAGCUUUCGGCAGAGGAAGCCACCGUAGGAGGCGGCGCUUCGCAAGAGACGAAAGUUGCAGAAGUGGAGGUGCCCAAAUUGUUUGGGGUUUCAAUCGGGACAAAACGACGUCGGAGUUCGGAGGUUGAGGAGGCAGAAAAAGAACAAAAUCAAACACAAUCGUCCCAGGAACCCGAUGGUGGUUCCGAUGUAAAAAUAGAGCCGUUAGAUGGCAGUAAUUCCGACGAUCAGGAGACACCCUGGUUAGAGCUUGGAAAACAAUAGCCGCUGCCCGCUGAGUUAUUAUCUGGGUGACGCUCGCUACAUCUUGUGCUGCCAUGUUCGGAUGCUGUAAACUGAAAAGCGAGUCUCACGUGCCAAAGGCUGGGAGUCACGUGAUUCAAAGCCCCAUCUUCUUCCCGUUGUUGCUGCACAGUUACGACGAAGAAGUGGUCAAUGGAGCGGGAAGGAUUAGAAAAUAAGUGAUGCUUUGGUUGGGUGUGAAAAGUGAAAAGUUGCGAAGGGAAAGCGAAAAUGACGGAUCAGGAUCGGACGUGGAUAGAGCAACCAGCAACGCGACCUGGUUAUUCUAGGCAGAUGUGAUUUCGAUCGGAUUCAAUAGGGAACGCAAUUAAAAUGUCGGUUUACUGGCACUACGGUUUCAGAUCCUUUGAAGGGGUUGAGGAGAAAGAUGACUGAAUUGGGGAAAUACUCUGUUCUUGUUUAUUUGUGCCGGUGGUGUUGGAACUUGAGAUGUCCCAUGUGAAAAUGUACCAAUAUCAAUGAUUAAUGGGUUCGGAUCGAAGUUCAAAACUGGCAAUUAGUGUUUGGUGUCCACUUCGCCACCUGGGCAAUGUUGAUUCUUGUUCUCUCUUUGCCCAUCGUCACCUGAUUCAAGAGGACUGACUGACAAAACAAGCAUUCAAAAUUGUCAAUGCAAACGCCUAAUUUGGUGCCGUUAAUGUUGACCUAGUCAUCAAUAAGGGAAGCUGCACCAUGACGAAAACACAGAUUCAAUAUUUAAUAUUUAAUGUAGCCUUCCUCGUGUGGAGCUAUGUUUCAAAGGUCAAAGGGCCUGGCGCCUACUUUUCUUUGGGCCAGGUACCCAGUGCCUGCCUAACCGGGCAUUAGGAAUUGAGACGUGAUGUCCAACAAUCCAAGUUAGGGAUCAAUGAAUUUUGACUGUGCCCGGUAGAAAGGGGCUCCUUUAUGAAAAAUCAUGACAAUGAGGUCCAAUGAAUGAGUCGAGAUAUUGCUUUGAGGUCCAUGGAUUUGAGUUUGGUCUUCUCCAAACUUUUUGGUUUGCUGGUGACGGUGCAUCCCACAAACUUUGCCUUUAAUGGCGGAUUCGUCCAUGUACAUAGUGUGGGAUUGCCUUUUAUUUUUUGAACACAUCACAUGAAUCGACAUAUUUUGUUCGGGCCAGAAAUUUGGUCUUUUCUAAGAUUUUCGUUAUUUUGGUCGAAGAAUUGUUAUCGGGUUACUCAUUUUUGGAUCUUCCAUUUGAGUUCAGCCUAUCUGAAGUGGAGCUACGCCACUGGGAUACUGAGAGGUCUGAAUUAUUAUUUUUUUAAAUGUUCUUGAAUGAACAUGAUGGUUCAAUAUUGGACAGAUUCAAUUUGAAAUUAGUAUAACUUUUGUCAGCUAUGUACCCAAAAAAAAAAAAAAAACAAACUGUUGUCAGCUUGUGGGUUAGAUUUU